ACGUUUGUAACCACAAUUGGUUGUUCUGUUCAUGCAGAACAUUAAAAGGGAAUCCGGUGUAAGACCGGAGCUAUCCCCGUAGCUGUAAUCCUGCCGCCGGCUAAUACCGGCAAUGUUUUUCCGGAGUGUGCUCCAUACCACUGUCUGCUGUUGCGGAUGGGAAGGUUUCCGGAAAAGCAGGAGAGCCAGAAGACCUGCCAGCUGUAAUCACCAUUC
rnacentral:ncRNA from 2 species